AAAGCUUGAAUGUCUGAGAAAAAGUACUAAAGCUUUCUUCCAAAUCCCCAUUUUCACAUUAAGCUCGAUCAUGAACUGUAAUAUACUAUUUUGUUCCAUAAGCAGAGGUACCUAUAUUCAAAUUUAACCAUAAUAGUACUUACAUGUGAAAAAGAGACAAAGCUUGCCAAUCUCCUCUGCGAUUCCAACAGCUCCUCUGUAGUGUUCCUCUCCAUGGUUGUUCUCAGACAUGUAGAGAUUUAGAGAUGACAAAUUCAGCUGAAGCACAUAUAUGCCGUCUAGUUGUAUCACAUUCCUCUUCGGCCACUGUAAGUCAUGUCCCGAUGUAUGCAGCUGAGGAGUUAUGUUACUUCCUAUGCUCAAAAUAAUUUCAUUUAUUAGAAGCUAACCACACUUCAAUAACCUUAAAAGCUAAUUAUUGUAAGUAUUGAUCAAAAGGCAGAAAUUGAAAGCAAUAACUUUCACCAGAAAAACACUAUGCAAAUAACUGUAGAAACUUAUGCUUACAACAAUAAUCAGAGACCAAAAG
rnacentral:lncRNA from 1 species